UACGGAGGAUUCGAGCGUUAUCCGGAUUUAUUGGGUUUAAAGGGUGCGUAGGCGGAAUGGUAAGUCAGCUGUGAAAUUUUACGGCUCAACUGUGAAAUUGCAGUUGAUACUGUUUGUCUUGAGUAUACAUGGGGUAGGCGGAAUUUGUGGUGUAGCGGUGAAAUGCUUAGAUAUCACAAAGAACUCCAAUUGCGAAGGCAGCUCACUGGGGUAUAACUGACACUGAUGCACGAAGGUGUGGGGAUCAAACAGG
rnacentral:rRNA from 1 species